rnacentral:rRNA from 1 species
UCCCUCAGUAACGGCGAGUGAAGCGGGAAAAGCCCAGCACCGAAUCCCCCGGUCUCGCGACUGGCGGGAACUGUGGUGUGUGGGACGUCACCAGUCGUGCUUGUCGGUGCCGAAGUUCUCCUGAUCGGGACUUCUCCCAGAGCGGGUGUAAGGCCUUUGCGGGUACCGACGGGCUCGGCCGCGAGCGUCCCAGGAGUCGGGUUGUUUGGGAAUGCAGCCCUAAGCGGGUGGUAAACUCCAUCUAAGGCUAAAUACUGGCGCGAGUCCGAUAGCGGACAAGUACCGUGAGGGAAGGUUGAAAAGAACUUUGAAGAGAGAGUUCAAGAGUACGUGAAACUGCCCAGAGGUAAACGGGCAGACCCGCAAAGUCGGUCGUCGGAAUUCAGCCUGGCUGGUCGGAGCGACUGCGUGCCUGUGGAUCUGUUGAGCGAGGCGCGUGGCCGUCGUCCGUCCGACGGGUGCACUUUCCGGCGAUCGAGCGCCACAACCGGCUCCCGGCCGACCAGAACCUGGUGAGGAAGGUAGGCUUGCGAUUGCGCUCGUGCGACCGCCGGCUGUUACAGCCUCGCUGUGGAUCGGGCUCGGCUUUGGCAGGGGGCCGAGGGUAAGCUUCCGCGCUCGACUGAGGCGGCUGUACCGCAAUCGGGGGUGCGACUGGUGGGGACUGGGCAACCGUGCCUGCCGACCGUCCCUGUUUCGCUGGUGUGGCAUGCCUUGGGGCGCUUCGGGUUAG